UGGGGAAUAUUGGACAAUGGGCGAAAGCCUGAUCCAGCCAUGCCGCGUGUGUGAAGAAGGUCUUCGGGUUGUAAAGCACUUUAAGUUGGGAGGAAGGGUUGUAGAUUAAUACUCUGCAAUUUUGACGUUACCGACAGAAUAAGCACCGGCUAACUCUGUGCCAGCAGCCGCGGUAAUACAGAGGGUGCAAGCGUUAAUCGGAAUUACUGGGCGUAAAGCGCGCGUAGGUGGUUUGUUAAGUUGGAUGUGAAAGCCCCGGGCUCAACCUGGGAACUGCAUCCAAAACUGGCAAGCUAGAGUACGGUAGAGGGUGGUGGAAUUUCCUGUGUAGCGGUGAAAUGCGUAGAUAUGGGAAGGAACACCAGUGGCGAAGGCGACCACCUGGACUGAUACUGACACUGAGGUGCGAAAGCGUGGGGAGCAAACA
rnacentral:rRNA from 1 species